rnacentral:rRNA from 1 species
UAAUACGGGGGGGGCAAGCGUUGUUCGGAAUUACUGGGCGUAAAGGGCUCGUAGGCGGCCAACUAAGUCAGACGUGAAAUCCCUCGGCUUAACCGGGGAACUGCGUCUGAUACUGGAUGGCUUGAAUCCGGGAGAGGGAUGUGGAAUUCCAGGUGUAGCGGUGAAAUGCGUAGAUAUCUGGAGGAACACCGGUGGCGAAGGCGGCAUCCUGGACCGGCAUUGACGCUGAGGAGCGAAAGCCAGGGGAGCAAACGGGA